rnacentral:rRNA from 1 species
AUUGAACGCUAGCGGCAGGCCUAACACAUGCAAGUCGAACGAGUGGCGGACGGGUGAGUAAUGUCUGGGAAACUGCCUGAUGGAGGGGGAUAACUGCUGGAAACGGUAGCUAAUACCGCAUACCAUCAGAUGUGCCCCGAUGGGAUUAGCUAGUAGGUGGGGUAAUGGCUCACCUCGGCGACGAUCCCUAGCUGGUCUGAGGGGAUGACCAGCCCAACUGGAACGGAGACACGGUCCAGACUCCUACGGGAGGCAGCAGUGGGGAAUAUUGCACAAUGGGCGCAAGCCUGAUGCAGCCAUGCCGCGUGUAUGAAGAAGGCCUUCGUGUUGUAAAGCACUUUCAGCGGGGAGGCGUUACCCGCAGAAGAAGCACCGGCUAACUCCGUGCCAGCAGCCGCGGUAAUUC